rnacentral:rRNA from 1 species
CUCCUGAUUGACCGAUAGUGAACCAGUACCGUGAGGGAAAGGCGAAAAGAACCCCGGCGAGGGGAGUGAAAUAGAACCUGAAACCGUGUACGUACAAGCAGUGGGAGCCUUGAUUUAUCAGGGUGACUGCGUACCUUUUGUAUAAUGGGUCAGCGACUUAUAUUCUGUAGCAAGGUUAACCGUAUAGGGGAGCCGUAGGGAAACCGAGUCUUAACUGGGCGAAUGAGUUGCAGGGUAUAGACCCGAAACCCGGUGAUCUAGCCAUGGGCAGGUUGAAGGUUGGGUAACACUAACUGGAGGACCGAACCGACUAAUGUUGAAAAAUUAGCGGAUGACUUGUGGCUGGGGGUGAAAGGCCAAUCAAACCGGGAGAUAGCUGGUUCUCCCCGAAAGCUAUUUAGGUAGCGCCUCGUGAACUCAUCUUCGGGGGUAGAGCACUGUUUCGACUAGGGGGUCAUCCCGACUUACCAACUCGAUGCAAACUACGAAUACCGAAGAAUGUUAUCACGGGAGACACACGGCGGGUGCUAACGUUCGUCGUGAAGAGGGAAACAACCCAGACCGCCAGCUAAGGUCCCAAAGUCAUAGUUAAGUGGGAAACGAAGUGGGAAGGCUCAGACAGCCAGGAUGUUGGCUUAGAAGCAGCCAUCAUUUAAAGAAAGCGUAAUAGCUCACUGGUCGAGUCGGCCUGCGCGGAAGAUGUAACGGGGCUAAACUAUGCACCGAAGCUGCGGCAGCGAUAUGUAAAUAUUGUUGGGUAGGGGAGCGU